UCCAGAGGUGCUGCUGGUGAAGGAGGAGGGGUAUGAGGAGGGUCUGGGGAACCCUGAGGGGACAAUGGUCAUGGAGGACAACCAGACUACACCUCGUCCUGAACCCACAGAGGAACCGGCCGAGCAGGACAGGAACACACACACAGUCAGUCUUACUGAGUCAGUAGACAUGGAGGAUGGGAAGCAUGAUCUGCUGCUGGUCAAAGAGGAGACGAUAGAGGACGGGUGGACUAAAGAUGGGGAAGCAAGGUGGUUGGCUGGAGGGUAACAGAGU